rnacentral:rRNA from 1 species
GACGAACGCUGGCGGCGUGCUUAACACAUGCGAGUCGAACGGAAAGGCCCUGCUUUUGUGGGGUGCUCGAGUGGCGAACGGGUGAGUAACACGUGAGUAACCUGCCCUUGACUUUGGGAUAACUUCAGGAAACUGGGGCUAAUACCGGAUAGGAGCUCCUGCUGCAUGGUGGGGGUUGGAAAGUUUCGGCGGUUGGGGAUGGACUCGCGGCUUAUCAGCUUGUUGGUGGGGUAGUGGCUUACCAAGGAUUUGACGGGUAGCCGGCCUGAGAGGGUGACCGGCCACAUUGGUACUGAGAUACGGCCCAGACUCCUACGGGAGGCAGCAGUGGGGAAUAUUGCACAAUGGGCGGAAGCCUGAUGCAGCAACGCCGCGUGCGGGAUGACGGCCUUCGGGUUGUAAACCGCUUUCGCCUGUGACGAAGCGUGAGUGACGGUAAUGGGUAAAGAAGCACCGGCUAACUACGUG